CGAGCCGUGAGGUGAGGUCUGAAAGAAGCGUGGAGCAAAGACGCGAGCCGAUGAACAAGAACUGGAUGCGAGGCAGGCAGUGUUCGGGCGAGCUGGCAAAUGGCAGCGAAGCCUACAUCCAUCAAGGGCACUGAAUGUAAAUCCAGCGGUUGCGCGUUGAAGGCGGUCGAGC
rfam:Acidobacteria bacterium 13_2_20CM_2_57_6 13_2_20cm_2_scaffold_2915, whole genome shotgun sequence.